GGGGAUCUAGCUCAGUGAUAGAGCACUUGCCUAGCAUGCACGAGGCCCUGGGUCCAAUCCCCAGUUCCA
rfam:Ictidomys tridecemlineatus contig015756, whole genome shotgun sequence.